rnacentral:rRNA from 1 species
UACGAAGGGGGCUAGCGUUGCUCGGAAUCACUGGGCGUAAAGGGCGCGUAGGCGGGUCUUUAAGUCAGGGGUGAAAUCCUGGAGCUCAACUCCAGAACUGCCUUUGAUACUGAAGAUCUUGAGUUCGGGAGAGGUGAGUGGAACUGCGAGUGUAGAGGUGAAAUUCGUAGAUAUUCGCAAGAACACCAGUGGCGAAGGCGACUUACUGGACACAUAUUGACGCUGAGGUGCGAAAGCGUGGGGAGCAAACAGG